GUCUUUUGUUAUUAUCGUUCGUUAUUGUAGAUUAUUUGUCUAUCUUUACAAUAUACAUAUCUACAGCCAGCACAAGCGACGACGAAACUACCACCGCACAAAGUAAUUGUCGCAUAUUGAGAUCUUCAUAAAUGGAAAUGGCAGUUAAUAUUUUGAAUACGAAUCCUGAAAUAAAUGUCAAGGAUAUUUUCAAAAUAAAGAAUUUUCAAGCAUCACAAAGGUUACAAAUGAUAAAAACGAUAUGCAGAAUCAAAAGAAGACACAUGUAAAUUUUGAAGGACUAUUCACGUUCAAGACUGACUUGAAGUGGUUUAAUAUCAUAUAUGCUAUUAUUUUACAUACUGGCAUGUUGUAUGGCUUUUUAACUUUUAAUUGGUUCGAAGAUAUCAGAACAACUUUUUGGAGGUGUUCUAUUUUAAUUACCACAAGUGAAUAUGUUAAAAAAUAUACAAGAUAUUGGAAAAUGUUUUACAUAAAAGAUUUCGAAGUAGAAGACGUCUUAUCGUAAGCAUAAUUUUAUUCCAAGCAGAGACAUUGGAAUUUCGAAGUCAUUACUUUUUUUUAAACGA